CCUACGGGAGGCAGCAGUGGGGGAUAUUGCACAAUGGGGGGAACCCUGAUGCAGCGACGCCGCGUGGGUGAAGGAGGGCUUCGGCAUGUAAAGCCCUAUCGGCAGGGAAGAAGCAAGACGGUACCGGACGAAGAAGCCCCGGCUAACUACGUGCCAGCAGCCGCGGUAAUACGUAGGGGGCGAGCGUUAUCCGGAUCCACUGGGGGUAACGGGAGCGUAGACGGCCAGGCAAGCCAGGGGUGCAAGCCCGGGGCCCAACCCCGGGACUGCCCUUGGAACGGUGCGGCUAGAGUGCGGGCGGGGCAGGCGGCUUUCCUGUUGUAGCGGUGCACUGCGUAGAUAUCAGGAGGAACCCCGGCGGCGAAGGCGGCCUGCUGGACCGCGCCUGCCGUUGAGGCUCGAAAGCGUGGGGAGCGAACAGGAUUAGAUACCCUUGUAGUC
rnacentral:rRNA from 1 species